UUAAUUCCGGAACGUUCGUAAUUUUCACGUUAACGCGUUGAAAAGUAGGUAACGCCAGGCGGGAAAAUUGAACAAUGCCGCGAAAUAAAUAAAUGCGAAAGCGGUUCUCAUUUCACGUUACUCGUUUAUGGGGUGCUAACCGUUAACGGUAUUCCGAAUUUUGUACUUUGUUCUAUUGCGUGAGUUACGAAUGGAAAGUGUUUCGCUACAAUUCGUGUAAUCUUUUUCACUCGGCGCUUUUCUCUGUGUUUUAAGCAAUGAAUAUAAAACAGAUAAGUUAACGAUGGGAUUAGUUCGAGUAUUAGGUAUUAUGUAAACAAUGCGAGUUUCUGAAUUAACCAAGGAGUACGGGUACUGGAGUAGGAGUAGGAAAACUGUGGUGUAAAGGUAAAACGCAACAAGGACAGAAAUCUUUAUUAUCGAACAGCUGGUAUUUAUUUUCUAUGGGAAUUGUAAACAGAAAUACAAUAGACUUGUACAUGACGCGGUUGAUACGUUAUACGCGUUGUAUGAAAUCGUGUUACAUGAUCUCAUGUUAUACGGGAGUUCAAUGUAGUGUUUUCACGUUCGAAUUCGAUCGUUUGUUAUUGGAUAAUGUGUCGGUUUCUUAGUUCUCGAGCGUAUAAGUUGAAUCGCUUCAGGAUACGAACCUCGGAUUAUACGAUCAAUCGUUUAAAUCGUGUAACGGUCAUUCUAGCAAGAAAUCUAAUAUUUUAUGAGGUUGUUAACGUAGAUUCGUAACGGUGAUAGCAUUUAACCGAGCUUUAUUUACCGUAGCUCGGGGAAGUAAAGCAAAAAAAAAAAUGAAACAAGCGGAUUCGUUGUGCUGCGGGGUUGACGGACACGUUGCGUGUCUCGUUUUCCUAUUGGUCGACUCGCUGUAGGCUCGUCACCUUUGCAUAUAUGUAGGUAAUACUCGCGCCAUAUGGUGGGGUACUCUAUGCAUACACUGUCUCGGCCAGAUUCUAUCUUACCAACACAAUAGUUAUUCAAGUAUUGGUAGUGAUAGGCGUAGGAGUACUCUGGGAAACAGGUUUGCUUGUGUCUACAGGGUGUCCCGUGCAGA